rnacentral:rRNA from 1 species
CAAUAGCGUAUAUUAAAGUUGUUGCGGUUAAAAAGCUCGUAGUUGGAUUUCUGCCGAGGACGACCGGUCCGCCCUCUGGGUGAGUAUCUGGCUCGGCCUGGGCAUCUUCUUGGAGAACGUAGCUGCACUUGACUGUGUGGUGCGGUAUCCAGGACUUUUACUUUGAGGAAAUUAGAGUGUUUCAAGCAGGCAUACGCCUUGAAUACAUUAGCAUGGAAUAAUAAGAUAGGACCUCGGUUCUAUUUUGUUGGUUUCUAGAGCUGAGGUAAUGAUUAAUAGGGAUAGUUGGGGGCAUUCGUAUUUAACUGUCAGAGGUGAAAUUCUUGGAUUUGUUAAAGACGGACUACUGCGAANGNAUUUGGNAAGGAUGUUUNCAUUG